rnacentral:lncRNA from 1 species
GAAUGUCCUCUCCAGAGACGAAACUCAAGUACCUUCGGCGGCACCUUUGGCGGCCGAAUCCCCCAAACAGAGCCGAACAUGCAAAAACACUCGGGGGCAAGCUGUGGCAACUAAGCCACCAUGCAGGAGGUUCGGCGGCCGAAUAAACCUUCGGCUGCCGAACCUGAGUUCAUCCAGAACUCAGCUUCAACGACAAACCAUCUCCUCCUUCCCUUCAAUCUCUCCAAACAUGCUUACCUCCUCUACUCAACUCACAUAUACUCAAGUAUAUGGUCACAGGGGUCCAAAACUAGCUAAUAACCCCAAACAACAAAACAAAC